rnacentral:lncRNA from 1 species
CGUGGCGAAGAGGUUAUUUCCAUGACUGUCGAGGGCCCUCCUCCUCCUGAAGAGUCUCGCGCUAAGGCUGUUUCUGCUACUGCCGUUCCUGGCCCUGGCAUUGGUCGCGCAGCUGGCCGUGGGAUUCCCACUGCUCCUGUCGUUCAGGCCCAGCCUGGCCUUGCAGGUCCUAUCCGUGGCGUUGGUGGGCCUGCACCUGGCAUGAUGCAGCCACAGCUCUCGCGUCCUCCAGUCCCACAACUUUCUGCUCCGCCUAUGACUUACCCUCCAGCUGCGGCUCCACCUGGUGGUACCGCGCCUGUCAUACGGCCGCCUGGCCAAAUGCCUCCUCCUGGUUAUCCUGGUCAAGCGCCUCCAAUGGGUCGGGGUCCACCUCCACCGGUUCCACCUCAGUUUGCCGCUAGGCCACCACAACAGGGGUACCCAAUGCCGCCACAAUUUGCCCAAAGACCAAUGGGAAUGCCUCCCCAGCCACAGGCACCAAUGAUGAGGGGGCCUCCUCCUCCUGCUCCAAGACCUGGAAUGCAAGCGCCACCUCCUCCUCGUCCUGGGAUGCCUCCUCCAGCUGGUGGUGUUCCUGUUUAUGGACCUCCUCGUCCUGGUAUGCCACCUCCUCUCAAUCCCCAACAGCAGCAGCAGAAUCAGCAGCAACAAUGAUUAGGUAUGGCCUAUUUUUAUGUUUGGGAUGUUGCAUUAUUUUGUUCGGUAACUUGUUUGAGUUGCCCCUUUCUUUGCUAAUUGUUAUUCCUUUUAGAGGAAAAUUUUGCUUACUAUUGCAUAUGACAUGGUCUUUGGUGCCACACUGGAAUGGACAAUCACGUUCCGUCUAUGUGAACCUUGAAGUUGAUUUUCUCGUGUCGUAUGAAUACCAAAAAAUAUAUUAAACCAUCAGUGACUAGCUUAAUUGAUCUUUGUUUAUGUGUAGACCUACAGUCUAAUACCAAUACAUUUUUUUUUAUUUCUAGAUGUGGCAAUUACUACAUUUAAA